GGAGGGGUUUCAGAGGAGAUUUGGAUGUCUGGCGUGAAUACUGAAGGACUGUAAUGGGAAUGUUAGGAUCCAUUGUUACCUUGGCUUUCUGCACACGCCAGGUCGAUGAUAAAGAAGCCUUUAGGCCAAGCUCCCCAGACUGGAUUCUAAAGAUGAAAACUACCAGGACUUGACUUCUAAAUGCACUAGAGGAUGAGGGAGAUUGAGAUAAAAGUCAAAGAAUGCUAAGUGACAAAUGUAGCUUGUUAUACUCUAUCAGGAAAUAUUUCAAGUGUGUAUCUCACCCCCUCUCAUCCUCUCUCCCCCUCUCCCUCUCCUCCUCUGCAUUUCUCUCCAAAUGUUGACCUCUUCUUCCUCCUUUUGAUCGCUCCUCCUUCUCCCUACUCCUCUUUCUCCACCCCUUUCUUCCCUUUCAGUUCCCCCCCUCUCCUUCUAUCUCUCACUCUUCCUCACACCUUUCUCAGAUUCAUCCCUCUGUCCCCUCAUCCUCCUCUUUCUCCUCUGUGUACGACUGACCCUGGUCCCUCAGAUGAGGUCACCAUCUCUCCCUCUCUCAUACCCAUCACUGACUCUCAUACUCUCAUCCCUCCCUCCAUCCCUCUCUCCUCUCCUAUUUAGAUGGAGGGGGCUUUGGUGAACCCUGGGGAGCAGAGGUGAAGUCCUCAGAUAGUAACCCCCAUUGUGGCCCGACUGGAAAUGCAUUCUUCCAGAGGACUUCCCCUCUCUGUGUUAGGCCCUGGGCUGGUGUGUGGGAGAAUCAGCAGGAACAGCCUCGGAGGGCAGGAGGAGAGGGUAGCACUACCCGGGAUCGGAAAACUUCUAGAAGGAGUUAAAACAAGGAGAACAACACCUUGGACAAGAUAGGCCCAUACAUGUCAGCCAGGGGAGUAAUCUACAACAGUUAUCAAAGUAUUCCUCCUAAUAUCUCCUCCAGCUUCUCCAUUACCCCCUCACCACACCCCCUCCUCACUCCCACUCCCCCUCCC